AAGAAAUUCUGGAACUUAUUCCACUUGCAACCGAUGCAUGACCGAAAGGGUGAGCUCCAAUACUUCAUUGGUGUGCAACUGGAUGGAAGCGAUCAUGUGGAACCCCUGCGAAACCGCCUCCCGGAGAAAACUGAGCUACAAAGUGCUGAGUUGGUUAAAGCUACUGCAGAAAAUGUUGAUGAAGCUGUUAGAGAACUUCCCGACGCCAACUCGACAGCAGACGAUUUGUGGGCAUUGCAUUCUCAG
rnacentral:misc_RNA from 1 species